rnacentral:rRNA from 1 species
CCUACGGGACGCACCAGUGGGGAAUAUUGCGCAAUGGGCGCAAGCCUGAUGCAGCCAUGCCGCGUGUAUGAAGAAGGCCUUCGGGUUGUAAAAUACUUUCAGCGGGGAGGAAGGUGUUGUGGUUAAUAACCUUGGUGAUUGACGUUACUCGCAGAAGAAGCACCGGCUAACUCCGUGCCAGCAGCCGCGGUAAUACGGAGGGUGCAAGCGUUAAUCGGAAUUACUGGGCGUAAAGCGCACGCAGGCGGUCUGUCAAGUCGGAUGUGAAAUCCCCGGGCUCAACCUGGGAACUGCAUUCGAAACUGGCAGGCUAGAGUCUUGUAGAGGGGGGUAGAAUUCCAGGUGUAGCGGUGAAAUGCGUAGAGAUCUGGAGGAAUACCGGUGGCGAAGGCGGCCCCCUGGACAAAGACUGACGCUCAGGUGCGAAAGCGUGGGGAGCAAACAGGAUUAGAUACCCGAGUAGUC